UAGGGAAUAUUGCACAAUGGGCGAAAGCCUGAUGCAGCAACGCCGCGUGCACGAUGAAGGCCUUCGGGUCGUAAAGUGCUUUUCUGAGGGACGAGAAAGGACGGUACCUCAGGAAUAAGGUUCGGCUAACUACGUGCCAGCAGCCGCGGUAAAACGUAGGAACCGAGCGUUAUCCGAAUUUACUGGGCGUAAAGCGCGUGCAGGCGGUUUGGUAAGUUAGAUGUGAAAGCUCCUGGCUUAACUAGGAGAGGACGUUUAAAACUGCCAGGCUAGAGGACGGUAGAGGGGGGUGGAAUUCCCGGUGUAGUGGUGAAAUGCGUAGAUAUCGGGAGGAACACCUGUGGCGAAGGCGGCCCCCUGGGCCGUACCUGACGCUGAUACGCGAAAGCUAGGGGAGCAAACGGG
rnacentral:rRNA from 1 species